UCCGCAGCAUUGCGCGGAGUUUAAAGCUUGUUUUUCCUGAUAUCAGAACCCAUCCCAAAUUCUACUCUAAUUUCUCCAAAUUCCCUUUAUAAAUAAAAGGAUGUACUUCUAUCACAGCCAAGCCUUCUCUGCAAAUGUGCAGAAAUAUUAUCAAUAAAUCCGAACAGAACGAGAAUGAUGGGUUCUUUAGCUCGUAAAAAUUGAUGGGUUUUGAGUUGUUAUUUUUAAUUAGGUUUUCCAUUGUGGUUGAUAGAGUGAAUUCAUUGUUGAAUGUUACGAAUGAGCAAGCAGCUCUUUGGAUGGAUGGUUGAUAAUUUCUUCAGGUUCGACAAAAUACACCAUAAAUCGCUCCCCCCUUUUAUGGUGUUACACUAAGGCGCCUUAGCUCUGUGCUUCUUGCAUGGCUGAGAAGUAGUUGAAUUCUCAUGCGUCCUAGUAAUCUUGGAGUCCCAAAUACAAUUGAAUGGCUGAAUGAUGUUUUGCUGCUUAGGGCCAAAGUUGGCAUUGAAGUGUGAGCAAUUCUCAAUUCUCUAAAUUGCUGCACCUACUAUUUACUUUUCUUGGGUUUCUUAAUCGAGCAGCAUAUUACAUAACAAUAAAAGUCUUUACUACCUGAAACUGUUUUGGAUUUUUAAUAUGUGCAGUUCUAGCCCUUGUUAAGCAUUGUUGAAUUCUUAAUUCUCUUUAUUUUUAGGGUGGUUUUAAAUUGUUGUCAAUUCUUUUGCAAGUUAAUUGAGGGACUGAAUUAGCCAUUUUAAAAGAAUUUGAAUUUUUAAAAAGGUAAUUGUCCUUAUAGUAAAAUAUUAUUUACCCCUCUGGACUUCUGACUUGCCUAAAGAUGGAGGAUUUACUUCCUUUCAAGGUUGAGGAUUUACUUCUCAUUUGCUUGGUGAACUGGAAGUAGUCGGAACUGGUUAUAGAAUCAAAGCCUCUAUGUUGGUCCUUUGAUGGACCUUGGCUUACUUUAAAAGUUGUUCAGUUUAGGAUUAAAAUUAUAAAUUGACAAGUAAAAAAUUACAUGUAUUUUAUAUUUUACUAUAAAAUUGACUCGAUUAAACCUAAUUAAGUAGCCUAAUGAACAAGUUUACAGGUAACUAGUGGAUUACUAGCUCAAUUGUCUUAUUAACUGGUUGUUAUUCGGUGCAGGUGGACUUGGUGGGGGGGCAAUAUGAUGCAGGGGAUCAUGUGAACUUUGAAGUUUGGGCUAGGCUGCCAAUGGCUUUUAGUGUAACAAUACACACACACAUACACACACACACACUAAAUUAUUGCCUAUAUGCUGAAGGUUAAUACAAUAAAAAGUAGUAUUCUGCUAUGUGGGUUAAUAUAAUAAAAGAUUUUAUUGGUUGCUUACUUCAUCAAGGUUUAUGUAGAGAAAGUAAGAAUAGCAUUUCUUUGACUUUAGUAUACAUGUGAACCAUAUAUGGGCUGACCAGUUUCUUAGAAAUUGGAAGUGCAUUACUAUUUCAAUACUUGUAGGAUAAACCAUCUUUAUGUAAUGUGAAACAGAGGCUGACCUUACUAUCGUUCUUUCAAUAAAUAGGGUGAUGGGUAGCUUAUGUAACUAUAAUUUUCUGGUUUAGUUGUUCUCGAGGCCAAGAUGUCGUUUCUCACUUAUGAAUAUGCACAUUGCUUUUAUUUUUUUGAUGUGGCUUGAAUCUUCCUAAUUGUUACAUAGAUAAUUAGGUAUCAACCUUAUCUUGUCAGCUUGGAUAGAAUCUUUCUUUUUUAAGCACUAUAAAUAUGUUGUUAAGGUAGAAAGUAUAUUUAAAUUUAAUCAUAUUGUUUGUAAUUUUCAGGUGGUUUAUGCUUGUUAACAUUGGACUACCUGCUUAAAUUGAGGAAUUCUUAGGUGGAUACUAGUUAAGAAUCUGAAACCCCAGCCUCAUCUUGAAGGGCUUGCUAUUGCUACAUGUUCAUCAGGAAACUUUGGAAAUCUUCUCCUGAUAGUUGUCCCUGCAAUCUGUAGCCAGGAUGGAAGUCCAUUUGAUAGUGCCACUUGCAAAUUUAUUGGACUCUCAGUGUGUUGGACUUCCCUUUGUACCAAGUUUUCUUUGGUAGUUGGAAACUAUUGAAGAUAUGAUCCACGGAGUGAAUUUUCUCCCUGCUUUUUUCAUUGGAUAUUUAGUUUUUAUUUUUCUAGUAUUUUUGCUGAUUCUUUAAACUCAUUGAACUAAAAUGGCCUUGAAAGCCCGCUUCUCAAAAAUGCAAAAAAUUGGAUUAACUAAGCUCUACACUAACAAUCCAUUAAUUCUUUGUUCAGGUGUGAAUGUAGAUCAUCUUCUCCAGCAUCCAAAUUGCCUAGUCCUUAAGUCAUAAUGUCCUCAAAUCUGCAAGUUCUUGAAGUUGGUAUAAUCUUGCACCUGAGGCAAGGACUUUCUUUAACUUGCAACUAGUAGCCAUUUGGCUGAUUAAUCAAUACAAAAUUUCAUAUGGUUUAUUCUUGUUAUAGUUGACUAUCAUAUGACUACUUAGAUGAAGGGGAAAGUUUAUUUGUAGUUAAAUAAUUUGUUUAUGGAGCACCUGUAAUUUUAUAUUGGAAUGAUAGAAAUGUAAUAUUUUUUUGU